GCUCACCAUCAAUCUGCUCAGCGAAUUCCACCUCACAGCGGGAUUCUAACAAAGACAACUCCAAGGCCGCAGCUGCUCGAACAAACUCUUCAUAAAGAAAUAUUGCAGAUGAUUCUAGAAGGUUCGCACAGUGUUGAGAUCUACUGUACGGUUCUCGAUCAUUUUCUCUCGCUCUUUAACAGUCGCCCUCUCUCUUUCUCUCUACUUCGCCAGAAAACAAAGAAAAAGCUUUUUAUUGGCAACGUGCUUGCUGGGAAACAUCUUGAUCAGGCAGCCUCUUGGUUCAUGGAAUAUGGAACAGGAAAAAAAGGAGGAAGCAGAGACUCCUGCAGAGACUCCUACUGAACCAGAAUCCAACAUGAAGGAAGAAGAAGAUAACAAAAACGAAUCAGACUCCCCUGUCGAGGCACCUAUGAACCAGAUUAUAAAAAGAAGGAAACAGAGGUAUCUACUGGACCAGAGUCGUCAAAAAAGAAAACCCCGAAAUCAUUAAAGGCUGAAUCAAAAAUAGCAAAGAAACCUCUUGGUAGUAAAUUUUUAAACUCCAGAAAAGAUAAAGGUGGUCCACAGGCUCUGUGGAAACAAAUAAAAGAAUAAUAAGCAUGUAGUGAAGUAACAUAGAAAGCAGCAAUAGUGGAGGAGAGGUUAAAAAGCUGAAUUCUAGAGAAGAAGGCAAUGAGAAGAAUGUCAAUGAUGAAGAGCUUAAGGAGAAAGCCAUCAGCCUGAAAAUAACCAAGAGAAGAAGAUCAUUGAGUUGGAAAAGCACAAACAAAAAGAGAGAAACGAAGGAAGGCAUCGUAUGUCUCAGACAGUGGUACUGAGAGUCAAAAGAACAAAGAAAAACAUGAUGGUGCUUAGAAGAGCCAACAUGAUGAGAAGAAUAAAGAAAAACUCGGCAGUUUGAUAUUCAUGUGCAAUGCAAAGACCAAGCCAGAUUGUUUUCGCUAUCGUGUAAUGGGUGUUUUUAAGAAGGCAAUCAAGGAAAAUUAUAAUGAAAAACACAAAUUCAAAACAGAACUUACUGUUAAGCAAGCUAGGAAUCUUGAAAAGCUUUUUCGACCGGCUGAAGUUCAUUCAACUGUGUUGCCUGUCUGCUCUCCUCAAGUUGCUAGAGUUGGUGACAGUAAAGUUCAUGAAAUAAUAAGAGAAGUGUGGCCCCGUUAUCACAAGGAAACACUUGCUAGGGAUCCUUAUACGGAUGGUGAUUCUAGUAGAUUUCAGUUGCCAUCUUAUGAAGGUAUCAUCAGCGUCUGGUAUACAGAGACAUGGCAACUAUAUCAAGUGAGGAGACUCCUUGGGACUUUUACUCGGCUGGAAAGGACUAUCGAGCUUAUGGUCCUCAGGGAGAGCACCUUCUAAGACAGCCUGACCAUUUACAUAUAAAUGCUGUCUCCACACAGAGAGAGACUAUUCAUGCUGAUUCUCUCUACUUGAAUGAGAGAGAGUACCAUGCUUAUGGUCUUGGUGCUAACGUGAAACACAAUCCACUGUACCUUUUGCAACUGCAACAUCAGCUACUGCUUCAGGCCCAUAUACAAAGGAUCCAUACGAUGGUUAUCAGUAUGGUGCUUCAUCAAGUUCUUAUCCUAUUGGUGGAACGCACCCAAUUGAGAGUGCCAAUUUACGCAGAACAGAAACUGAUCGAUUGGGUAGUAUACUCCACAUAUGCUGCUGAUGCUUUAUUGCAUAAAGACAAGACACAUCAUUAUCAGGCUGCCCGGCCUGAAGCGGUGCCUGUGCCAGUUUCGUCUCGGUACUCAUUUGCUGGUCUAUCAUUCCUACACCGCUUACUGAAUUUGCAUCUUGAACGUAUGUAUCCAUUUGUAUUCGGACUUCUGUUUAUUGGCACCUGAUGUGCAUAUGAGGCAUUCUUCAGUUGCAUAAUGUAUGGAUGAGGGAACAUAUUUGGGCUCCAAAUUUGUACAGAACUGAGUGUAAGUGGCAUUUUGGUACCCAUCAAAAUUCUUUGGUGUUCAGUGGGAAAAAAAAUCAGAAUUCAUUU